AGAGGGAUAGCUGGGUCAAAUGGUGGUUCCAUUCCCAGAUUUCCAAGGAAUCUCCAUACUGCUUUCCAUAUUGGCUGUAACAAUUUGUAGUCCCACCAGCAAU
rnacentral:pre_miRNA from 1 species